rnacentral:rRNA from 1 species
UUCCUACCGGGGAGCAGCAGUGGGGAAUAUUGCACAUUGGGCGAAAAGCCUGAUGCAGCGACGCCGCGUGAGGGAUGAAGGGCCUUCGGGUUGUAAACCUCUUUCAGCAGGGAAGAAGCGCAAGUGACGGUACCUGCAGAAGAAGCGCCGGCUAACUACGUGCCAGCAGCCGCGGUAAUACGUAGGGCGCAAGCGUUGUCCGGAAUUAUUGGGCGUAAAGAGCUCGUAGGCGGUUUGUCGCGUCUGGUGUGAAAACUCGAGGCUCAACCUCGAGCUUGCAUCGGGUACGGGCAGACUAGAGUGCGGUAGGGGAGACUGGAAUUCCUGGUGUAGCGGUGGAAUGCGCAGAUAUCAGGAGGAACACCGAUGGCGAAGGCAGGUCUCUGGGCCGCAACUGACGCUGAGGAGCGAAAGCAUGGGGAGCGAACAGGAUUAGAUACCCUGGUAGUCCAUGCCGUAAACGUUGGGCACUAGGUGUGGGGCUCAUUCCACGAGUUCCGUGCCGCAGCAAACGCAUAAGUGUCCCCGACACGGGAGACGCCGAA